UGGGGAAUUUUGGACAAUGGGCGCAAGCCUGAUCCAGCCAUGCCGCGUGCGGGAAGAAGGCCUUCGGGUUGUAAACCGCUUUUGUCAGGGAAGAAAUCUUCUGAGUUAAUACCUCGGGAGGAUGACGGUACCUGAAGAAUAAGCACCGGCUAACUACGUGCCAGCAGCCGCGGUAAUACGUAGGGUGCAAGCGUUAAUCGGAAUUACUGGGCGUAAAGCGUGCGCAGGCGGUUUUGUAAGACAGAGGUGAAAUCCCCGGGCUCAACCUGGGAACUGCCUUUGUGACUGCAAGGCUUGAGUGCGGCAGAGGGGGCAUGGAAUUCCGCGUGUAGCAGUGAAAUGCGUAGAUAUGCGGAGGAACACCGAUGGCGAAGGCAAUCCCCUGGGCCUGCACUGACGCUCAUGCACGAAAGCGCGGGGAGCAAACAGGAUUAGAUACCCUGGUAGUCCACGCCCUAAACGAUGUCAACUGGUUGUUGGGAAGGUUCCUUCUCAGUAACGUAGCUAACGCGUGAAGUUGACCGCCUGGGGAGUACGGCCGCAAGGUUGAAAC
rnacentral:rRNA from 1 species